rnacentral:rRNA from 1 species
GGGGAAUAUUUGACAAUGGGGGGAAUCCUGAUCCAGCCAUGCCGCGUGCGUGAAGAAGGCCUUACGGUUGUAAAGCACUUUAAGCGAGGAGGAGGCUCUUUUGGUUAAUACCCAAGAUGAGUGGACGUUACUCGCAGAAGAAGCACCGGCUAUCACCUUCCCAGCAGCCGCGGUAAUACAGAGGGUGCGAGCGUUAUUCGGAUUUACUGGGCGUAAAGCGUGCGUAGCCGGCUUUUUAAGUCGGAUGUGAAAUCCCCGAGCUUAACUUGGGAAUUGCAUUCGAUACUGGGAAGCUAGAGUAUGGGAGAGGAUGGUAGAAUUCCAGGUGUAGCGGUGAAAUGCGUAGAGAUCUGGAGAAAUACCGAUGGCGAAGGCAGCCAUCUGGCCUAAUACUGACGCUGAGGUACGAAAGCAUGGGGAGCAAACA